rnacentral:rRNA from 1 species
UAGGGAAUCUUCCGCAAUGGACGCAAGUCUGACGGAGCAACGCCGCGUGAGUGAAGAAGGUUUUCGGAUCGUAAAACUCUGUUGUUAGAGAAGAACAAGUGCUAGAGUAACUGUUAGCGCCUUGACGGUAUCUAACCAGAAAGUCACGGCUAACUACGUGCCAGCAGCCGCGGUAAUACGUAGGUGGCAAGCGUUAUCCGGAUUUAUUGGGCGUAAAGAGAGUGCAGGCGGUUUUCUAAGUCUGAUGUGAAAGCCUUCGGCUUAACCGGAGAAGUGCAUCGGAAACUGGAUAACUUGAGUGCAGAAGAGGGUAGUGGAACUCCAUGUGUAGCGGUGGAAUGCGUAGAUAUAUGGAAGAACACCAGUGGCGAAGGCGGCUACCUGGUCUGCAACUGACGCUGAGACUCGAAAGCAUGGGUAGCGAACAGGAUUAGAUACCCUGGUAGUCCAUGCCGUAAACGAUGAGUGCUAGGUGUUGGAGGGUUUCCGCCCUUCAGUGCCGGAGCUAACGCAUUAAGCACUCCGCCUGGGGAGUACGACCGCAAGGUUG